rnacentral:rRNA from 1 species
GACGAACGCUGGCGGCGUGCUUAACACAUGCAAGUCGUACGGUAAGGCCCUUUCCUUGCUUCACUAGUGUUGAACGGGUGCGUAACACGUGCGUAACCUUCCCACAACUUUGGGACAACGCUAGCAUCCUGGUGCUAAUACUGGAUCUGUGCUCCUUCUGCAUGGUCGUGGUUGGAAAGCUCCGGCGGUUGUGGAUGGACUCGCGGGCUAUCAGCUUGUUGCGGUGGCGGUGUCCUACCAAGGCGGCGGCGCGUAGCCGGCCUGAGUGGGUGACCGGCCAUAUUGGGACUGAGGGAAGGCCCAGACUGCGGCGGGUGGCAGAAGUGGGGAAGCUUGCAGGAGGGGCGCAAGCCUGAUGAAGCAGCGCUGCGGGCGGGAAGACGCCCUUAGGGGUGAAAACCGCUUGCAGCAGGGACGAAGCUUUUUGUGACGGUACCUGCAGAAGAAGCACCGGCUAACUACGUG